UGGGGGAUAUUACACAAUGGGGGGAACCCGUGAUGCAGCGACGCCGCGUGGGUGAAGAAGCGCCUCGGCGCGUAAAGCCCUGUCAGCAGGGAAGAAAAUGACGGUACCUGAAGAAGAAGCCCCGGCUAACUACGUGCC
rnacentral:rRNA from 1 species